rnacentral:rRNA from 1 species
AUUGAACGCUGGCGGCAUGCUUUACACAUGCAAGUCGAACGGCAGCGCGGGCUUCGGCCUGGCGGCGAGUGGCGAACGGGUGAGUAAUACAUCGGAACGUGCCCAGUAGUGGGGGAUAGCUCGGCGAAAGCCGGAUUAAUACCGCAUACGACCUGAGGGUGAAAGCGGGGGAUCUUCGGACCUCGCGCUAUUGGAGCGGCCGAUGGCAGAUUAGCUAGUUGGUGGGGUAAAGGCCUACCAAGGCGACGAUCUGCAGCUGGUCUGAGAGGACGACCAGCCACACUGGGACUGAGACACGGCCCAGACUCCUACGGGAGGCAGCAGUGGGGAAUUUUGGACAAUGGGCGAAAGCCUGAUCCAGCAAUGCCGCGGGUGUGAUGAAGGCCUUCGGGUUGUAAAGCACUUUUGGCGGGAACGAAAAGGACUGUGCCAAUACCACGGUUCGAUGACGGUACCCGCAGAAUAAGCACCGGCUAACUACGU